UUUUCCACUCCCAGCUCUCUCUUUUCCUCUGUCUUCUCCCCUCUCCACAUUCCUUUUGUCUCAUGUCUCCAUCUCUAUCUCCCUUCUUUGAAUCCCCCCCCGAGUCUCUGUUUGGCCCAUUGCUGUUGAGAUUUGCCUCCCGGAAGCAGACGUUCCACCGUGGGGCUCAAUUCCCUGCAUCUGGGCUUCUCUCUAGAUCCCUAGGAGCCAGGCAGUGCUCUCACUGGCACUUAGGGAGAGGCCCCCUGGAGCCCGUAUGGCAGGCUGGAGCCAGUGGGACAGGCUGGCUAACAGUGCCAGUGGGGCCUGUGCAAACUGCCCAGUCUGAGCCCUCCACACUCACCGCUCUGAACUUCAUACCGUGACCUUCAGCAGAGAGUUCCUGCUCGUGCACUUGGCUUCCUUGUAGAGAAAUGGAAACAUUCUUCAGUGGAUCAUUUGCAAACAAUUUUGUUUGAUUUAAUUCUUCCUCCAUUGCAAUAAUUUCAAAUAGUGACACUGAACUUUGUGUUUCAGGAGCUGCAGAAAAUACUGCUGCUGUCAUUGUGGUGAAUCAGACACCCCCUUCUAUCCGUGCAAUGGAAGGAUCAGAGUUCACCAUCGAGUGUACAUUCAACUCAAGCAAUAACUCUAUCAAGUGGUUUGGUGAUUGGAGUAAAACCAGAAACAAUGUAACAGCAAAGGUGAACAGUGUAAUAGAUCGAACCAUGUUAUCAGCAGAUACAGAAAAGAGGUCUCUUUCCCUCACUGUGAAGAAAGCCGAUGUCAUGGAUUCUGGAACCUACGUAUGUGGGGUUGGGAGCAAAUAUGGGACAUCUCCUGGGACUGGAACCCAAGUGACCAUCGAUGAAAUUACCGACCUGAUGGUGAAUCAAACCCCAACCAGUGUCAGUGGUUUAGAAGGCACAGAACUUACCAUGAAUUGUACAUUCAAGACAGUCAAUAACCACAGCACCAUGUAUGUGCGAUGGUAUAACUAUGGGACUGAGGGACUAAAGAAAGAGCUGGUGAAUGACAAUGAUGUGAUCACAACCCUGCAUUUGGACAAUGGGUUUGCCUCUCUCACUUUGAAGAAUACGAAUUCAUCUAAUACAGGAACCUACGUGUGUGAGGUUGGGAUCACAGCAAGGAACCUCUCUGGGAAUGGACCAGGAACCCAAGUGACCAUUGAGAAUUUUCCCGAGCUGAUGGUGAAUCAGACCCCAGCCAAUAUCCCUGUGUCAGAAGGGUCAGACCUCACCAUGGAGUGUAGAUUCACGGUAUGGAAUAAACACAAGACCUUGUAUGUGAAAUGGUAUAAACAUAGCGGAACUGGGGGAACGAAGAAGGAGCUGAUGAGCGAAAGAGUCGGGGACCCAGCAGCCCUGGCUUUGGAAAAGGGUUUUGCUUCGUUCACUCUGAAGAACGUGAAUGUAACCGAUACAGGAACCUACGUGUGUGAGGUGGGGAGCACAGCGAGGAACUGGUCUGCGUCAGGAGCCGGAACCCAAGUGACCUCCAGUUCUAGGAGAUGGGAUAUCUCCAUUAAUUAACCAAUCAUUUAAUUAACCAAUCAUUAACCAUCACUCGUAAGUACCAGUAUUUUCCUAUCCGCUCUUCACGGUGUGAGAGAGAGUGAAUGGCAGCCUAAAGGUCAGAGA
rnacentral:lncRNA from 1 species